AUACGGAGGGUGCAAGCGUUACUCGGAAUCACUGGGCGUAAAGCGCGCGCAGGCGGGCUGAUAAGUUGGAUGUGAAAGCCUACGGCUCAACCGUAGAACUGCAUCCAAAACUGUCAGUCUAGAGUGUGGGAGAGGAAGAUGGAAUUAGUUGUGUAGGGGUAAAAUCCGUAGAGGUAACUAGGAAUACCAAAAGCGAAGGCAAUCUUCUGGAACACUACUGACGCUGAGGCGCGAAGGCGUGGGGAGCAAGCAGGAUUAGAAACCCCGGUAGUCC
rnacentral:rRNA from 1 species